AGCAGUGUGGCACAGUGGUUAGUGUGUCAGACUAGGUCCUGGAAGACCAAGGUUCAAAUCCUAGCUCAGCCA